CUACACUGUAAAAAUUUGCUGUAACUCAUGCAGUAAAAUACUGUGAUUUACAACAGUAAUAUGUUGUAAUAACGAUUUUACGAUAAUUAACUGUAUAAGUACGUUGCUGUACAGUAUAUUGCUGUAAACAUCAGUGUCGUAGAGCAUGGGAACAAAUAUCUACAGUAAGCUAGUGUAAAGGAGCGUGCAAAAAAGCAUUGUGGGAUACAGCGCACAUGCGCAUUAGGCGGAUCGGCUGCAUAUGCGCGUAUGCGUUGCACGUGAUUGGCUCCCGCGCUAGCCCGCCACGCCGCGCCGCCAUUUUUAAUUUUCUGCAAAGAUUUGAGCUGCGCUGAGAUAUAGCUGAGCUGGCCGGCCUGAUCCUGAGCAACGAAUCUGAAUCUGUUCUGUUCCUGGUCCUGAUCCUCGAGCUGGGAUAUUGAUGACCAAUAAGUCAAUUCCAAGGGGAUCCGAGUAUGCCAUGGAUUACUGCUGAAGUCACACAGUGUGCAUGCUGAAACACUAAUCAGACGGAUGCUCUACAUGGACAUCAUAUACCCAUGUACGUUUGUAAGCUAUGUAAUCAUUCUUCUGGAUCAUUGAAGCGGUUUUCUGAACACUUUUCAGUCCAUAGAAAUGUGGUGAAUUUCGAUUUCCCGUGUGGUGUUCCUGGCUGCAAUCGAACAUUCAGAAAUUAUUCAUCCUUCAAAACCCAUGUGCAUAGGGAUCAUCAACCAUUUUCAAGAAAAAAAGAUGCCCAGUUUUUCUGCGUUUCUACCUGGAAUUGUCCACUCUGUGCUGUAAAUAUGUGAGGAAAUCCAUGACAUACCUUCUCAUCUUAGAGUUCAUAUCAAACACGGAGUUGAAAUACGCUGUCCUUUUGCCAAUUGCAAAAAACGUUUUUCAGUGAGGUCGUCUUUUGCGUCACAUAUAUCAAGAGUUCACAAUAAGUUAGACCAGAUUCAGUUAGACUCAACUUCAAGUGAAACUGGUACUGUGUUAACUGAAUCCGCCCAAGAAAAUAAUCAGGAGUUUCCUGGAAGACUGCACUCAAGUGACGAGGAAAGUGUGACAGAUGAUGAAGUAGAUGUAUCCGCUGACUCAUUCAAACACAGCUUAUCCUUGUUUUAUCUGAAGUUGGAGGCAAAAUUACUACUGCCCAACUCUACAAUUCAGGAAAUAAUUGACACAGCAUUAUUUUACCUUAGUGAAUUUUCAUAUAUUUUAGUCUGUACAUGCAAUACACCUUUAUUUUAAUAAAUUUAAUAAGUCAUGAAAUAAAUGAAUUUGCCAAAUAUUAGGCCUAUAUUUAAGUAACCUAUAUUUUAUUUCGACAUAUUUCAAGUUAUAUAAUAAUAUAUUUUUUUUAAGUAACUUAUAUUUUAUUACGAUAUAUGUUACGUUAUAUGGUAAUAUGUUUUUUUAUCAUAUUUAAUACGUAGCAAUAUUGUAGCUAAACGAAUUUCAUAAUUUUAUGUUUUCAUUUUACAUGUACACAAAUUGAUCAUAUUUUCUAUUUUCUUUGUUCAUUGUGCACAUUGGUAAUUCUAUUUCAUUAAUUUCUGUAUAUCAUGUAUAUUUUCUUAUUGUCAAGUAUGUUUUACGGUUUUUGUUAUUUUGCACAGCCCCUUUGUAAACCAGCCGAGUAGCUGAAUAGGGCUUUUACCGUCAAUAAAUCAAUCAAUCAAUUGAAUGACAGCUCAUGAAGUUGAAACAAGUUUCUGUGCAGAAUUGGCAUGUAAAUGAGACAAAAAUACAGAAGAAUAUGAAACACGUAUUAAAGAUUACAAGUUUAAUAUAACAGAGCAACUCAAAUUAAAUGGGGUAUUAGUUCAAAAGAUAAAUUAAACAAAAAUAAAGUGAGUAAUGUCUUUUGGAGAGAUUCUACCAGGUAUAGAGAGUUUUCCUUGAUUCUGCCAGGUAUAUGGAGACUUUUCAUUGAUUGUAUUCUGAUAGUAGUUGUCGUUUAAUAGUGGCUUUAAAGGAAGAUAAAAGUGUAUAAAAUAUGUCUUGUUUACAAUUGAAGAUAAUUCUUUACAAUAGUUUUUUACAAUUCAGAAUUUUAAAGUGAACAUAUUGUUGUCUGUUCGACAAAUAAUUUUUGACCCAAGAAAGUGCAGUGCCCCUAAGCCAUACGUUGUGAUUUAGCAUAUCAAUGCCUUAAAGCCGCUAUGUCUGCACAAUUGCAUGUGUUAUUCUGUCGUAUAAUUAAAUUAAUGCUAGGUCGGGUGAAUGAUUUUUUUUAAAGCCAUAUUGGUUGGGAUUAAGCAAGUUAUGUGUAUUUCAGAAUUGGUAUAAUCUAAACAAUUUUUUCAAGAAUUUUUGAGAUACUGGAAGGAUGACUAUGGGUCUGUAGAUUCUUGAGUACUUGAACUUUUGCAGUUUUUAGUGGUUUUACUUGUUUUAAUGUUUUACUUGAUAGUUUCUUUGCAAGCAUUUUCAUAAUGUUACACUAUUUGAGAAACUUGUUUUAUGGAGCGUUGAUUACCCAAUAAAGACUUUAAUAAUGA
rnacentral:lncRNA from 1 species